AUCAAUUAAGAAUAAUUGAUAUUCAAGCCAGUGAUUUAAACUGUUUGUUUUGUAGUCUUCAGUUUUGUAUCAUUGUUUGAAAAUGAAGGAACUAAGAAUAUGAUUAGAUAAGAAAAGAUUCGAAAAGAGGAUAUGGAAAAAUAAACAAUGGUCAACAACCGCCGCACUACAUGGAUAUAUAAAUUAAAGUACAGUAUCCUCUACAUUAAAAUAGAAGUCACUUUAUUGAUUUCUGCUGAGGUGGCACUCA
rnacentral:lncRNA from 1 species